AUACAGAGGGUGCAAGCGUUAAUCGGAUUUACUGGGCGUAAAGCGCGCGUAGGUGGCUAAUUAAGUCAAAUGUGAAAUCCCCGAGCUUAACUUGGGAAUUGCAUUCGAUACUGGUUAGCUAGAGUAUGGGAGAGGAUGGUAGAAUUCCAGGUGUAGCGGUGAAAUGCGUAGAGAUCUGGAGGAAUACCGAUGGCGAAGGCAGCCAUCUGGCCUAAUACUGACACUGAGGUGCGAAAGCAGGGGGAGCAAACAGGAUUAGAUACCCUGGUAGUCCAUGCCGUAAACGAUGUCUACUAGCCGUUGGGGCCCUUGAGGCUUUAGUGGCGCAGCUAACGCGAUAAGUAGACCGCCUGGGGAGUACGGUCGCAAGACUAAAACUCAAAUGAAUUGACGGGG
rnacentral:rRNA from 1 species